rnacentral:rRNA from 1 species
UACGUAGGUGGACAAGCGUUGUCCGGAUUUACUGGGCGUAAAGAGCGCGCAGGCGGUCGUUCAAGUCGCGUGUGAAAGCCCCCGGCUCAACUGGGGAGGGUCACGCGAUACUGAUCGACUCGAAGGCAGGAGAGGGAAGUGGAAUUCCCGGUGUAGUGGUGAAAUGCGUAGAUAUCGGGAGGAACACCAGUGGCGAAGGCGACUUCCUGGCCUGUUCUUGACGCUGAGGCGCGAAAGCUAGGGGAGCAAACGGG